rnacentral:rRNA from 1 species
AUUGAACGCUGGCGGCAGGCCUAACACAUGCAAGUCGAGCGGGGUUUUCGGACCUAGCGUCGGACGGGUGAGUAAUGCGGAGGAACCUACACGAUAUAGGGGGAUACCAGUUGGAAACGACUGUUAAUACCGCAUAAUGUCUACAGACCAAAGUGUGGGACCUGUGGGCCACCUGCUAUCGUAUGCGCUGACGUGGGAUUAGCUAGUUGGUGGGUUAAUGGCUCGCCAAGGCGACGAUCCCUAGAUGGUCUGAGGGGAUGAUCAGCAAUACUGGAACUGAGACACGGUCCAGACGCCUACGGGAGGCAGCAGUGGGGAAUAUUGGACAAUGGGAGCAAGCCUGAUCCAGCCAUGCCGCGUGGGUGAAGAAGGCCUUAGGGUUGUAAAGCACUUUCAGUAGGGAGGAAGGGUGUUGUGUUAAUAGUACAGCAUUUUGACGUUACCUACAGAAGAAGCACCGGCUAACUCUGUGCCAGCCGCCGCCGUAACAC